GGCGGGAAACGAGGGCUAAUACCGGAUAACCUCUUUGAAUCGCAUGGUUUGAAGAGAAAAGGUGGCCUCUUUACAAUGCUACCACUUACAGAUGAAUCCGCGUCCCAUUAGCCAGUUGGUGGGGUAAAGGCCUACCAAAGCGACGAUGGGUAGCCGGCCUGAGAGGGUGACCGGCCACACUGGAACUGAGAUACGGUCCAGACUCCUACGGGAGGCAGCAGUGGGGAAUCUUCCGCAAUGGGCGAAAGCCUGACGGAGCAACGCCGCGUGAGCGAAGAAGGUCUUCGGAUUGUAAAGCUCUGUGAUAUUGGGGAAGAAAGGACAGUACUCUUAGAAUAAGCUUCGGCUAACUACGUGCCAGCAGCCGCGGUAAAACGUAGGAAGCGAGCGUUAUCCGGAUUUACUGGGCGUAAAGCGUGUGUAGGCGGUUUGAUAAGUUGGAUGUGAAAGCUCCUGGCUUAACUGGGAGAGGUCGUUCAAAACUAUCAGACUCGAGAGUGGUAGAGGGAGGUGGAAUUCCGGGUGUAGUGGUGAAAUGCGUAGAUAUCCGGAGGAACACCAGUGGCGAAAGCGGCCUCCUGGCCCAUUUCUGACGCUCAGACACGAAAGCUAAGGUAGCAAACGGGAUUAGAGACCCCGGUAGUCUUAGCUGUAAACGAUGUGAACUUAGUGUCGGUGGGUUUAAAUCCAUCGGUACUGAAGCUAACGCGAUAAGUUCACCGCCUGGGGACUACGGCCGCAAGGUUAAAACUCAAAGGAAUUGACGGGGCCCCGCACAAGCAGCGGAGCGUGUGGUUUAAUUCGAUGUUACACGAAGAACCUUACCAGGGUUUGACAUGCAAGUGGUAGGAAACCGAAAGGUGACCGACUCCUCGGAGAGCUUGCACAGGUGCUGCAUGGCUGUCGUCAGCUCGUGUCGUGAGAUGUUCGGUUAAGUCCGCUAACGAGCGCAACCCUCGCUGUGUGUUACAAGUGUCACACGGUACUGCCGGUCUCAAGCCGGAGGAAGGUGGGGAUGACGUCAAGUCAGCAUGGCCUUUAUGUCCUGGGCUACACACACGCUACAAUGGCCAACACAAUAGGUUGAUAAGCCGCGAGGUGGAGCCAACCCCCCAAAGUUGGCCUCAGUUCAGAUUGUAGGCUGCAACUCGCCUGCAUGAAGAUGGAGUUGCUAGUAAACGCAGGUCAGCUAUACUGCGUUGAAUACGUUCCCGG
rnacentral:rRNA from 1 species